ACUAUUUUGGCAGAUUAGUGCGAUAAAUUUAGAAUUUAUAAAUAUAAUUAAUAAUUAUAAAUAGUA
rnacentral:tRNA from 1 species